UACGGAGGGUGCAAGCGUUAUCCGGAUUCACUGGGUUUAAAGGGCGCGUAGGCGGUCGUGACAAGUCACUUGUGAAAUCUCCGGGCUUAACUCGGAACGGUCAAGUGAUACUGUCGGACUAGAGUACAGAAGGGGCAACUGGAAUUCUCGGUGUAGCGGUGAAAUGCGUAGAUAUCAAGCAGAACACCUGCGGCGAAGGCGGCCUUCUGGACGAUGACUGACGCUGAGACGCGAAAGCGUGGGGAGCAAACAGG
rnacentral:rRNA from 1 species